UACGGGGGGAGCAAGCGUUGUUCGGAUUUACUGGGCGUAAAGGGCGCGUAGGCGGCGCAACAAGUCACUUGUGAAAUCUCCGGGCUUAACCCGGAGCGGUCAAGUGAUACUGUCGUGCUAGAGUGCGGAAGGGGCUACUGGAAUUCUCGGUGUAGCGGUGAAAUGCGUAGAUAUCAGGAGGAACACCGGUGGCGAAGGCGGGUCUCUGGGCCGAUACUGACGCUGAGGAGCGAAAGCGUGGGGAGCGAACAGG
rnacentral:rRNA from 1 species